rnacentral:rRNA from 1 species
GAUGAACGCUGGCGGCGUGCCUAAUACAUGCAAGUCGAGCGGUAAGGCCCUUCGGGGUACACGAGCGGCGGACGGCUGAGUAACACGUAGGAACGUACCCCAAACUGAGGGAUAAGCACCAGAAAUGGUGUCUAAUACCGCAUGUGGCCCACGGGCUAAAGCUCCGGCGGUUUGGGAACGGCCUGCGUCCGAUUAGCUAGUUGGUAGAGUAAUAGCCUACCAAGGCGACGAUCGGUAGCUGGUCUGAGAGGAUGAUCAGCCAGACUGGGACUGAGACACGGCCCAGACUCCUACGGGAGGCAGCAGUAGGGAAUUUUCCACAAUGGGGGCAACCCUGAUGGAGCAACGCCGCGUGCAGGAUGAAGGCCUUCGGGUUGUAAACUGCUUUUAUAUGUGACGAUUAUGACGGUAGCAUAUGAAUAAGGACCUGCUAACUACGUGCCAGCAGCCGCAGUAACAC